GGGUGUGUAGUUCAGUGGUAGAACGCUUUCCUGAUAAGAAAGAGGUCUAAAGUUCGAUUCUUUACACACCCACAA
rnacentral:tRNA from 1 species